rnacentral:rRNA from 1 species
UAACAGAGGUCGUCAAGCGAUUUGUUCGGAUUCAUUGGGCGUAAAGGGUGGCGUAGGCGGCGCGGUAAGUCGGGUGUGGAAAUCAUCGGAGCGUUAACUCCGAAACUGACAUUCGAUACUGCGGUGGCUUGAGGACUGGAGAGGAGACUGGAAUUCAUGGUGUAGCAGUGAAAUGCGUAGAGAUCAUGAGGAAGACCAGUGGCGAAGGCGGGUCUCUGGACAGUUCCUGACACUGAGGCACGAAGGCCAGGGGAGCAAACGGG